rnacentral:misc_RNA from 1 species
GUCACAGCAAAUAAUGACGCAAAAGUAAGGAUUUAUGAUGCCAAGACUUUCGCUUGCCUCAACGGCUUCACAUUUGGCUGGUCCGUAAAUAACACCUCUGUUAAUCCAGAUGGAAAGAUGCUUGCAGUGCUUGGAGACAGCACAGAGUGUCUGCUUGCAGAUGCCAACUCUGGCAAAGUGAUCGAGAGCCUGAAAGGGCACUUGGAUUACUCGUUUGCUUCUGCGUGGCACCCUGAUGGACGCAUUUUAGCGACUGGGAACCAAGAUACCACCUGCAGGCUAUGGGACAUAAGGAAUACGUCCAAGUCCCUAGCUGUGCUCAAGGGAAGAAUGGGAGCAAUUAGAUGUGUGAAAUUCAGCUCCGACGGUAAAUUCCUGUCAACGGCAGAGCCUGCAGAUUUCGUCCAUAUUUACGAAAGUCACACAGGUUAUGAACAAGCACAAGAAAUCGAUCUGUUUGGUGAAAUUGCUGGAAU